rnacentral:rRNA from 1 species
UACGUAGGGGGCUAGCGUUGCUCGGAAUCACUGGGCGUAAAGCGCACGUAGGCGGAUUGUUAAGUCAGGGGUGAAAUCCUGGAGCUCAACUCCAGAACUGCCUUUGAUACUGGCGAUCUUGAGUCCGGGAGAGGUGAGUGGAACUGCGAGUGUAGAGGUGAAAUUCGUAGAUAUUCGCAAGAACACCAGUGGCGAAGGCGGCUCACUGGCCCGGUACUGACGCUGAGGUGCGAAAGCGUGGGAGCAACAGG